AGCACAUUCUCAGCCCCUCUCACUUCGUCUAAAUAUAAAACUUCAGUCUCCCUCAACAACACUUUGACCCCAUACUCUGAAUGAAUGCUUGUCUUGAGCUUAAGUUUCAGCAUUCUGGAGGUUUCAUAAUUCCCAUUCCAGUCCCAUCCAUACCCUAUGAGUAUUCUAUAGCUUUGCAACCCAUUAGAAAAUAGGUGUUUUGGUAAUAUGUUGGCAUCCAGUAUCUGUAUUUCCAAAGUCAUCAAGUGAGACAAGUAUUCCAACUCAGCAAGGCUUGCAUUACCCUGAUUGCUGAUUGCUUCCGCCUCCCAUUCAACAAAGCUGUUGCUCACAUACAAUUCUUCUAACAUGGAAAACUUGGAUAAGACAUUUGCUGGAAUGACUUUAAGAUUGGAACAAUUGCCGAUAUCCAGUAAUUUUAGUCUACUUAAUUGUUCUAUUUGUCUAGGCAACUCAACAAUAUAGGAAUCUGCUAAACUGAGAACUUCUAGUUGCUUUAGCUCUCCAAUGAUAGCUAUGUCAUCCAGAUGGCAUCGAUGCAAGCACAAGGAAUGAAGGUUUGUUAGGAAACCAAGUGAUGAAGGCAGAGACAUGAAACACAUCCCUGUAAAAUCCACUACUUUGAGUCGUCUAAUUCCAUCAAAAAAUAAUUGAGGGAUAUCCAAAGAAAGAUCUUCAGUGAAGACCGACAAUAAAUCAGCUUUUGGGCAUUCCAUCCCUUGAGGAAGUGCUUGGAUAUCACAGUAAGGUAUUGAAAUUCUGGUGCAAUCCUUGGUUGGCAAUUCCCCCAACCCAGCACCACUUGUGCCUAUAAAAAUAUGUUGCUCUUUAGAAGCUAUUAACAGGGCAGUGUCACGAACAAUGUCAUGCAUUUUCACAUAUCCAUUCAUGUCACCAUCUAGCAGUAAACACUCAGCUUUCAGUUCAUCAAUCAAAGUAUAUACUUUGUUUCUCGCUUCUUCAACUGUAGCUAUGUGCUUAAAUAAACCCACACCCAUACCAUAUUUUAGCAAGUUUUGGAUCUGAAUAUUAGACUGUCCAAACAGACCACAAAGCAAGAAAAAUGACCUGAGUUCAUCGCGAGGCAAAUUACGGUAGCUUAACUGAAGAACCAAGUGCACCUUGUUCUGUAUUUCUUCAUUAUCCAAGUCAGAAAGUUGCUUCAGCUUAUCAUCCCACAUAUAUGACUCCUUCAUUUGCAAAUCUGCAGCAACUUUGCGUAUGAGAAGGGGCAAUCCUGCACAUUUUUUUGCAAUUUCAGUAGCUAAAGAAGGUAACUCCGGUUCUUGGCCAUCAGCUACAGAUACGGUGAAUUUAAACAAAUUCCAUGCCUCUUCUUCUCGUAGAACUUCAAGUUCCAAAACUUUCUGCGCUCCCAUCCCAUGGCACACAUCUCUUCUCCUCGAAGUUAAUAAUAUUUUGCAUCCCUUGCAAUCGGGCCCAAAUGGAAUUCCCACUUCCUCUAAUUGAAGGUUUGUCCAAAUGUCAUCAAGAAUGAUAAGUAUCUUCUCUUUAUUCAAUCUCUCAUAUAGUCGAUUUGCUCUUAGGAGGAUUCCCUCCUCAUGAAGAUCAAGACCCAAGACUUCAGCAACCUCCGCUUGAAUUCUUCUGAGCUCUGGCGAUUGUGAUACAGCAACAAAAAUCACAACAUCGAAUAACUUAUCAUAUUGGGCUUGUCUAUGGACCUCCCUAGCUAGGGUGGUCUUACCGACCCCGCCCAUCCCAUAAACACCAAUCAUGUUAAGAUCAGGAUCUCUCAGCGAAUCCAUUAU
rnacentral:misc_RNA from 1 species